AUUUCUGUAUCGAAAAUAGUAAAAAUAGAUCUUCCAUUGUACAAUUCCAGUUUAUAAAAUCUAAAACCUCAAAACCCUAAUCCACAAACACUCUCCCUCCUUUCUUUCAAUUUCGAUUUUUGAUCCAGCCAUUUUUAACUGCAAUAUGGCUACUUCUAUUCUCCAGAAGCUCCUCAGAAACCAAUCUCAGUCCGCUACAAAAAUCAUUCAACACCUCAACAAACACCACCCGCCAUUGCCACUACCGUUUCUACUUAACCAAAUUCCUAAUCAAACUAGACUAUUGGAUCAUAUACCUUCACCGGGUCAAACUGAGCGAGCAGAGGUUUCAAAAACGGAACUCUCGGUUUCUUCAUGCGUCUACCCGAGUUUUUCUUUUGGAUUUUUCCUGAAUUCGGUUUCUUCAACCGUAACGAUUGGAUCCAGUAUCAACGAAUUCGUUUUGGAUGAUUAUCGGACGACAUGGUCUGACCCAGAUUCUUUAAUCGGGUCAAUUCGACCCGGAGAAGAUGGCAUUGUUUUGGAUGAUUCACGGGCUAUAUGGGCUGACAGUGUUAAGAAGAAGAGAAAGAGGAAGAUGAACAAGCACAAGUUGAGGAAGUUAAGAAAGCGGCUAAGGAGGAAAACGAAGACUUAGAUAGUAGUCACAUUAUUUGCUUAAUCAUCGGGCGAGGGAACCCGCAGUCGCUACUCGAAGGUGCACACUAGGUAAACCCCGCCUUGUUAUCCUAGUCGACAAAGGACCACAAGGAGGUAAACCAGCCUAGGUUACAAGAAGAACAUAUGGCUGAUGGUAGAACAACCAUGAGUUUUAUUGGAGUAUAGUCCCUCUUCAGUCUUCGGGAAUCGCCAAAUUUGUCUACAGGUUUUGCAUUUUGGUCUAGAUUCAUUAUUCAUUGCCCAAAAAAGAUGAAAUUAUCUUAUACCCGUAUCUGAGGUUCGACGGUAACAGAAAGUCAUGGUUUGACACAUACAUAAACCUUCGGUUCUGUAAAUCUAUGUUCUGAAGAUGGACACAUCACAUCAACUCACGGGAACGAGAAUGGUUUGAUUUCCAUGAGCCCUCUUUUCAAUUCUUGUUCUCAUGAUGAUAAUAUGAGCUGUUAUUUUAUAAUA